UGAGACUGAACUCAGUCGUGCAUGAGC
rnacentral:piRNA from 1 species